rnacentral:lncRNA from 1 species
GUUACUUUAAUAUCUAAUGGAAUGAAAUUCAUGCAUUUUUAAAUGUAUUUUAAAAUGUCCAAAUGCAAGUUUGGGUUUACCAUACCUAAUGUUUUGCCUUAUGUCAUCAUGAACAUGAAACCAAAGGAAUGAAAGAAACCUUCAUCGAAAAUUCCAUGACUGCACUGAAAGUGAAAGUUCCCCUGGAGGCACGAGAGGGCGGUGCCUCAGGUGAGAGGAGGAGGGGCAGCUUAGGGAAGGGGCGUGGCUUGUACUGUGUGUGUGUAAGAGAGUAAAUAUUUUUCACUACUGGUGGAACCUGUCCGUCUACUUCACCAGAGACACACGGAUACUCAGCCUGAAGUGCAGGACGUACAAAGAACAGUGGAGAGAACAAACACACAUUUACCAGAAACCAGAAAGAAUGCUGGACGGAGCGACAGUCUGGACAUAGACCACCGGAUUGGACAUCGUAGAUGAAGACAACACGCGUUGUGUUUGUGUUUGUUUACUUGACAGGUGCAUCAGUGGGUUUGAGUUUGAAUGAGACGUGUGUGUUUCUGAGGACCUUUAAUGGGUAGAAGCAUCCUGGAUAUGGGGGGAUGUCAGAGUUACAGCAGCUCUGAUGAAGAGGAUGUCCGAGCUCUGAAGGCAAACUACACUAAUGUCAGCCUGUUCAAAUUAAAGAAUAACAAUCUACAUUUAGUCCCGUCUGCUGAGGUCAAACCUUACCUGACAGAUCACUUCCUGUCCAGACGCAUCACUGAUCUCGACCUUCUGACCCUCUCUGCCCUGUCACACGGCCUCGACCAGCAGGAGUGGAUAGCAACAAACACGGUGUCGUUUUUCGAGCACACUACCCUCUUCUUCAGUGCUCUGUCUGAUUGUUGCUCAAUUACAGCGUGUCCGGCAGCCAACAGCUCAGGAAACCUGUGAGCAGAACAAACACAUUUCGUUACAGCUAGUUAAGAGACUAACUUAGUUCACAGCUUGCAUAUGUACACCUUACAAAAUAUUGCCAAAGUAACAGUUUAUUAUAGUUAACAAGACAAUAUCACAACAGUUUUACAGUGGUAGCUCUGUAGUCACUAUGGUAUUUUGAUGGAAGCUACACUGUAAAACCAAGACAGGAUUUAACAAACUACAAUAAAAAAAAUGUAUGAAACACUGACGGUGAAAUGUGAAACCUGUGAACACACACACACACACACACACACACACAUA